GAUGAAGAACGUAGCGAAAUGCGAUAAGUAAUGUGAAUUGCAGAGUUUAGUGAAUCAUCGAAUCUUUGAACGCACAUUGCGCCCGCCAGUAUUCUGGCGGGCAUGCCUGUUCGAGCGUCAUUUCAACCCUCAAGCACAGCUUGGUGUUGGGACUCGCGUUAAUUCGCGUUCCCCAAAUUGAUUGGCGGUCACGUCGAGCUUCCAUAGCGUAGUAGUAAAACCCUCGUUACUGGUAAUCGUCGCGGCCACGCCGUUAAACCCCAACUUCUGAAUGUUGACCUCGGAUCAGGUAGGAAUACCCGCUGAACUUAAGCAUAUCAAUAAGCGGAGGA
rnacentral:misc_RNA from 1 species